UCACCAAAACCCCAAACCCCCGACGUAGUCAGUGAGUUAAUUAUCGAAUAGGUGGCGCCCUUUUAGAUAUCUUCCUAGCUAGCGAAGAAGGAAGCUGUGAAGAAGGAAGAAGAUACAAUACAAUAUUCAAUUUCAACAAGAAAAAAUUGAAAAAUUUACAUAUCUCAUGUUCUAGUAGUGGAGUAGAUAGAGAUAUGCCAGUCAAAACUUCUUCAGUGAUAGACAAUGCAUUAGUUCCGGAAAAUCUUUGCAGUUACAAUUAUGGAAAAACGAAGUAUCAACCCAGCAAUCUAUCGCGCAAAAGCUAAAAUAACAUCCACUGUUUCAUACUUCAAUUAAUAAAAAAUAUUAAUUGAA